rnacentral:rRNA from 1 species
UACGUAGGGUGCGAGCGUUAAUCGGAAUUACUGGGCGUAAAGCGUGCGCAGGCGGUUUUGUAAGCCAGAUGUGAAAGCCCCGGGCUUAACCUGGGAAUGGCGUUUGGGACUGCAUGGCUAGAGUACGUCAGAGGGGGGUGGAAUUCCACGUGUAGCAGUGAAAUGCGUAGAGAUGUGGAGGAACACCGAUGGCGAAGGCAGCCCCCUGGGAUGAUACUGACGCUCAGGCACGAAAGCGUGGGGAGCAAACAGG